rnacentral:rRNA from 1 species
GACGAACGCUGGCGGCGUGCCUAAUACAUGCAAGUAGAACGCUGAAGGAGGAGCUUGCUUCUCUGGAUGAGUUGCGAACGGGUGAGUAACGCGUAGGUAACCUGCCUGGUAGCGGGGGAUAACUAUUGGAAACGAUAGCUAAUACCGCAUAAUAGCAGUUAUUGCAUGAUAACUGUUUGAAAGGUGCAAUUGCACCACUACCAGAUGGACCUGCGUUGUAUUAGCUAGUUGGUGGGGUAACGGCUCACCAAGGCGACGAUACAUAGCCGACCUGAGAGGGUGAGCGGCCACACUGGGACUGAGACACGGCCCAGACUCCUACGGGAGGCAGCAGUAGGGAAUCUUCGGCAAUGGACGGAAGUCUGACCGAGCAACGCCGCGUGAGUGAAGAAGGUUUUCGGAUCGUAAAGCUCUGUUGUAAGAGAAGAACGAGUGUGAGAGUGGAAAGUUCACACUGUGACGGUAUCUUACCAGAAAGGGACGGCUAACUACGUG